UCCGGUGGCAAUAGCGGAGGUUAAAAACCCGUUCCCAUACCGAACACGGAAGUGAAGCCCUCCAGCGCCGAUGGUACUGAUUUCUCGGGAGAGUAGGUCGCUGCCGGAU
rnacentral:rRNA from 3 species